AUACGAAGGGGGCUAGCGUUGUUCGGAAUUACUGGGCGUAAAGCGUGCGCAGGCGGCUUCUCAAGUCAGUGGUGAAAGCCCGGAGCUCAACUCCGGAAUUGCCAUUGAAACUGUGAGGCUUGAGGACGAGAGAGGUGAGUGGAAUUCCCAGUGUAGAGGUGAAAUUCGUAGAUAUUGGGAAGAACACCGGUGGCGAAGGCGGCUCACCGGCUCGUUUCUGACGCUCAUGCACGAUAGCGUGGGGAUCAAACAGGAUUAGAUACCCUGGUAGUCCACGCCGUAAACGAUGAUUGCUAGCCGUUGGGCAGCUUGCUGUUCAGUGGCGCAGCUAACGCAUUAAGCAAUCCGCCUGGGGAGUACGGCCGCAAGGUUGAA
rnacentral:rRNA from 1 species